CCUCAGAAAAUCACGUAAACAUGCUAAUUCAUCAUGUAAAAACAGAUCAACAAUAUCCCAACAAUCAACGGAUCUAAAUCUGUGAUUACUGAUAUUGUGCGUGUGUGUCCACGACCAUGCUAACCCAUGAAAGACAAAAAUAUGAAAGAUAAUAACUUUCUUAGUAAGCAUCAUACAGUGUGAACUUGAGAACUCAUCAAAUAUACUUGUUUCAACUGAACUCAAACACUUACCCGAAUUCAAAAGUCAAAAUGGAAUACUUUUUUUUUUUUUUAUGAAUGACUGUGCAACGUCUCAUCCCAUUAGGCUAAUAGUGUUACCCCUUAGCGAGCUUUCGACCAACAACUCCCAGACCAUAUAAGACCUUAGGGCGCUAGGUUUUAAGAUACCCCUUCGGGCGUACUUGGUCAAGUAACACAGGCCCCGAAACAAGACUAGUCACCCUGUAUAUUAUCAUUAUUA
rnacentral:lncRNA from 1 species